rnacentral:rRNA from 1 species
UACGAAGGGGGCUAGCGUUGCUCGGAAUUACUGGGCGUAAAGGGCGAGUAGGUGGCCAUCUAAGUCAGACGUGAAAUCCCCCGGCUUAACCUGGGAACUGCGUCUGAUACUGGACGGCUUGAGUAUGGGAGAGGAACGUAGAAUUCCAGGUGUAGCGGUGAAAUGCGUAGAUAUCUGGAGGAAUACCGGUGGCGAAGGCGGCGUUCUGGACCAUUACUGACACUGAAUCGCGAAAGCUAGGGGAGCAAACGGG